rnacentral:rRNA from 1 species
GACGAACGCUGGCGGCGUGCUUAACACAUGCAAGUCGAACGGAAAGGCCCUGCUUUUGUGAGGUGCUCGAGUGGCGAACGGGUGAGUAACACGUGAGUAACCUGCCCUUGACUUUGGGAUAACUUCAGGAAACUGGGGCUAAUACCGGAUAGGAGCUCCUGCUGCAUGGUGGGGGUUGGAAAGUUUCGGCGGUUGGGGAUGGACUCGCGGCUUAUCAGCUUGUUGGUGGGGUAGUGGCUUACCAAGGCUUUGACGGGUAGCCGGCCUGAGAGGGUGACCGGCCACAUUGGGACUGAGAUACGGCCCAGACUCCUACGGGAGGCAGCAGUGGGGAAUAUUGCACAAUGGGCGGAAGCCUGAUGCAGCAACUCCGCGUGCGGGAUGACGGCCUUCGGGUUGUAAACCGCUUUCGCCUGUGACGAAGCGUGAGUGACGGUAAUGGGUAAAGAAGCACCGGCUAACUACGUG